GUUAAAUUAUUUUAAAAAAAAUAUUAAAUUUUCAUUUUAAAGAUAAACACAUUAAAUAGCAUAAGUUAUUUAAUA
rnacentral:tRNA from 1 species